rnacentral:snRNA from 1 species
AAUAUCUGGCUCCUCUGCAUUUAAUCGAGAAAAUCUUUCGCCUUUUACUAAAGAUUUCCGUGCAAAGAAGGCGUUGAAAAACUCCUACUUUAUGAUGUUCCUUUAGGUGAAGGAUA